GUCCAGAGUGAAUCAGCACACAGCUCAGAGCUCACACCUACAGUCUGUUCUGCCCCUGGAACUCUUGCCCAGUUCCAGCCUGAACAUGAAGAAGAUGAUUAUCGCCUUGGUGGAAACUCUGUUCCUUAACCAUGGCUAAAAGGAGAACCAAGAAGAAUCUACAGUUUGAUUGAUGCCCAAGAGAAUGCUUUAAGAACAUAAUGUGAAAAGAAGAAAGAAAAUGACUGCUUCAGCCUGACCUUCUCUUGCUUUCUUUUCUACCACUUUGACAACAGGACAAAACCUGAUACAAAGUAGCACCUGAUGUACUUAAUCACAGCUGCAGAAAAAAGGGCAUUGAGAAAAAAAAAUUCUUUCCCCUUUGUAGCAGUAAUGAAUUUGUUUGUGCAAGGCACCUUGAGACUAUGCUGACAGAGAAUAUAUAACUAUCACAUGGGGACUUGUAGGGGAGAGAGGAUGAGUCAGAACAUUAUCUAUAGUUGUUUAGUUAAUAAUAAAGUGAGGUAAGGCAGAAUUAAAGAAUGAAGAAAGCAUCUCCCGAGGCAGCGCAUACUUACUGUCGGGCUCUGCCAGGCACGGGGUAUACCUCCCUCUGGGCUUCCGAGAGCCUGUAGAGAGGCAGAUUGCGCGUGUCCUCCGGGAUCCGGAUCGAGACUGGGGCUGAGGCAGAGGAAUGUUGGGGUCUGGGGCAGUGUGAAAAAUCUAAAGAAAAGAAGAAAAAUGGACCAAAGGUCAACAAAAGGGUAAAAUGACCAUUUUCAUCAUAGAAUGAGCUUUGAGAUUUAUUAAAAGCCUUAGAACUGCUGGCUUCUUAAUCUGCUGCAUGGCAAGAAAUCCUUGAUUAAAAAAAAAUAAAU